AACGAACGCUGGCGGCAUGCCUAACACAUGCAAGUCGAACGAGAUCCUUCGGGGUCUAGUGGCGCACGGGUGCGUAACGCGUGGGAAUCUGCCCUUAGGUUCGGAAUAACAGUUAGAAAUGACUGCUAAUACCGGAUGAUGACGUUAAGUCCAAAGAUUUAUCGCCUGAGGAUGAGCCCGCGUAGGAUUAGCUAGUUGGUGUGGUAAAGGCGCACCAAGGCGACGAUCCUUAGCUGGUCUGAGAGGAUGAUCAGCCACACUGGGACUGAGACACGGCCCAGACUCCUACGGGAGGCAGCAGUGGGGAAUAUUGGACAAUGGGCGCAAGCCUGAUCCAGCAAUGCCACGUGAGUGAUGAAGGCCUUAGGGUUGUAAAGCUCUUUUACCCGGGAUGAUAAUGACAGUACCGGGAGAAUAAGCCCCGGCUAACUCCGUG
rnacentral:rRNA from 1 species